AUAUAAUCUGCAAUGCUGCCCUGUUGCCAAUGGAACCUGAGUACCAAGAUUAGCUAAUGUCAUUAUUUGAAGCAACAUAAUGGUGAAAUCAAAGGGGGUGCAAAAGCAUCCCGUGCCGGCAGGCCAUGGAUCUGUGCAUGCAUCAUUUGUGGUUUUACAGACAGAAGUGAAGCUUGUAUGUUUGAAUCAAAAUGGAAAGCUUCGUCAAGAAAGUUCCCCGGAAAAGGCAAAAUAAGCAGAUUGAUGAUUCAUCACUUGCAUUGCUGCAGCAGAGACAGGAAGCUCUAAACAGAGUGAAAAGUUCACUUGAUUGCAAUCACUUGCAAAUCAACUGGCAUUUGAAUCCAUUGUGAUUCACCGUCCAAGAUUUUUAGUGACGUGCCUAACGAAUUAUUUAAUUGCAAUCUGUCCAAAUGCCAAGGACAAAGGACACGACUCCAAAUAUUUCAAGUGCAGUUGUACCAUAUAAAUUAAAGGGUUCUUGUAAACUAAAAAUAAAUAUCAUUUUCCCUCAUUUUUAUCUUGCUCCCA